rnacentral:rRNA from 2 species
AACGUAGGGUGCAAGCGUUGUCCGGAAUUACUGGGUGUAAAGGGAGCGCAGGCGGAUUGGCAAGUUGGGAGUGAAAUCUAUGGGCUCAACCCAUAAAUUGCUUUCAAAACUGUCAGUCUUGAGUGGUGUAGAGGUAGGCGGAAUUCCCGGUGUAGCGGUGGAAUGCGUAGAUAUCGGGAGGAACACCAGUGGCGAAGGCGGCCUACUGGGCACUAACUGACGCUGAGGCUCGAAAGCAUGGGUAGCAAACAGG